AGAAUCAACGCUGGCGGCGUGCCUAACACAUGCAAGUCGAGCGCGAAAGGGGGGGCAACCCCCAAGUAGAGCGGCGAACGGGUGAGUAACGCGUGGGUCAUCUACCUUCGAGUGGGGAACAACAGCGGGAAACUGCUGCUAAUACCGCAUGACAUCGUCGGGCUUCAGGCCUGACGAUCAAAGCCGGGGACCGCAAGGCCUGGCGCUUGAAGAGGAGCCCGCGUCCGAUUAGCUAGUUGGCGGGGUAACGGCCCACCAAGGCGACGAUCGGUA
rnacentral:rRNA from 1 species